rnacentral:rRNA from 1 species
UACGUAGGGGGCUAGCGUUGUCCGGAAUCAUUGGGCGUAAAGCGCGUGUAGGCGGUCCGGUAAGUCCGCUGUGAAAGUCGGGGGCUCAACCCUCGGAUGCCGGUGGAUACUGUCGGGCUUGAGUACGGAAGAGGCGAGUGGAAUUCCCGGUGUAGCGGUGAAAUGCGCAGAUAUCGGGAGGAACACCAAUUGCGAAGGCAGCUCGCUGGGACGUCACUGACGCUGAGACGCGAAAGCGUGGGGAGCAAACAGG